rnacentral:tRNA from 1 species
GAGGGUAUAGUUCAGUGGUAGAGUGCAUGCCUAGCAAGUACAAGGUCCUGGGUUCUGUCCCCAGUAUCUCCA